CCCCUAAUUCGAUAUUCUCAAUCCCUAACCCUUGUGGUUCAAUUUCCAAUUAUCCAAUACGUUCUUCCUCUUCUCCGAUCGUGACAAUACUUACCCCUUAGGCGAUCCUUGUCCCCAAGGAUCAAACCAUGGAAAUUGCGCUUUGAGGACUGUGAAAUCCUCCCAGGUGUCUUGAUCCACGUCGUGGUUCACCCAUCGAACUAGAAGUUGAGUAAUCCGUUUGUUGUCUCUGUUGACGAUUCUUCUGCCCAAAAUUUUCGGUGGAGCAAUUUUGAACUGACCUUCUUCAUCUGUUGUAGGAGGGUUCGUCGAGGCUACAUUGGAAAACCCAAUCGUUUCUUCAAAAGACUCACGUGAAAGACAUGGUACAAUCACGAUUCAUCUGGGCAAGAGAGCUUUGUUUGUAAGGCUAGAGUUUAAGGCAUCAAACCAAGACUUGGCACAACCUACGAGGUGCAUCACAACAACUUCCACUUUUUGUUCUCCAGCUAUUUGGGCUUCUUUUGAUCGGGCUUGUUCUGUUACUAUGAGAAUAUCCUCACGUGUUUACAGCUUCAAAUGCCCCAAUUCGAUAUUCUCAAUUCCUAACCUUUUUGGUUCAAUUUCAAAUUGUCUCAAUUGCCUUUCCUCAAUACGUUCUUCCUCUUCUCCGAUCGUGACAUUGACAUACUUGAAGUUCAACUAAUAGCACAUGUUGGAUUAAUAUAAUCUAUCGUUCUUUUACCUGUGCAAGUUUUGAGUUUCACUGCUAUAUGUAUGACAAGUAUCAUAAUUGUCAAAUAAAUAAU